AGCGAACGCUGGCGGCAGGCCUAACACAUGCAAGUCGAACGAACCCUUCGGGGUUAGUGGCGGACGGGUGAGUAACACGUGGGAACGUGCCUUUAGGUUCGGAAUAACUCAGGGAAACUUGUGCUAAUACCGAAUGUGCCCUUCGGGGGAAAGAUUUAUCGCCUUUAGAGCGGCCCGCGUCUGAUUAGCUAGUUGGUGAGGUAAUGGCUCACCAAGGCUACGAUCAGUAGCUGGUCUGAGAGGAUGACCAGCCACAUUGGGACUGAGACACGGCCCAAACUCCUACGGGAGGCAGCAGUGGGGAAUCUUGCGCAAUGGGCGAAAGCCUGACGCAGCUAUGCCGCGUGGAUGAUGAAGGUCUUAGGAUUGUAAAAUCCUUUCACCGGUGAAGAUAAUGACUGUAGCCGGAAAAGAAGCCCCGGCUAACUUCGUGCCAGCCGCCGCCGUAAAAC
rnacentral:rRNA from 1 species